rnacentral:piRNA from 1 species
UAGACAGUGUUGAAAAUGUGCCUCCUGGAG